UCGGGAAUUUUGGGCAAUGGGCGCAAGCCUGAUCCAGCCAUGCCGCGUGGAUGAUGAAGGCCUUAGGGUUGUAAAAUCCUUUCGCCGAGGACGAUAAUGACGGUACUCGGAGAAGAAGCUCCGGCUAACUUCGUGCCAGCAGCCGCGGUAAUACGAAGGGGGCUAGCGUUGUUCGGAUUUACUGGGCGUAAAGCGCGUGUAGGCGGGUCGUUAAGUUGGGGGUGAAAUCCCGAGGCUCAACCUCGGAACUGCCUUCAAAACUGGCGACCUGGACCUAAGUAGAGGCAAGUGGAAUUGCGAGUGUAGAGGUGAAAUUCGUAGAUAUUCGCAGGAACACCAGUGGCGAAGGCGACUUGCUGGACUUAUGGUGACGCUGAGACGCGAAAGCGUGGGGAGCAAACAGGAUUAGAUACCCUCGUAGUCCCUGAGCGGGCUGGCAAGGCGCAU
rnacentral:rRNA from 1 species